AUACAUCAUGGUUCUCCAAGAGAAUGUAGAAUUUUCAGACUUAUUUGACCAUGGAAGCUUAUCUCCACACCCCACCCCACGCCACCCCCUACUUCCUGUCCUACAGAGUGGUCCAUGAAACACACUGUUGGAAAUGCUGGUUUGAAACGUCGUGUAAUUUCCCUAAAAGAUAGAGCAAAUAUCAAGGAAACUAUCAAAGACUACUGGGGUCAAUGUCAAAAGGACUCAGGAGUUAACUUGAAGAGACUCCCUCUGGCCAUGGAUGGGACACAUUCAGCAUCAGUAAGCAUAAUAACUACAAAGGAUUGAAACACAUCAAAUGUGAAUUGUCUGUCGCAUUCUCCAUGAGCUCAUAAUGAUACUUUAAAAAAAAGAUAAGGUCACCAAUAGAGGAAGCUGGUAAGCCACUCAUUAUUUUGAAGAUUGGUAAAUAAAGAAAAAGAAUCAAGC
rnacentral:lncRNA from 1 species